UACGAAGGGGGCUAGCGUUGCUCGGAAUCACUGGGCGUAAAGCGCACGUAGGCGGACUCUUAAGUCAGGGGUGAAAUCCUGGAGCUCAACUCCAGAACUGCCUUUGAUACUGGAGAGCUUGAGUUCGGGAGAGGUGAGUGGAACUGCGAGUGUAGAGGUGAAAUUCAUAGAUAUUCGCAAGAACACCAGUGGCGAAGGCGGCUCACUGGCCCGGUACUGACGCUGAGGUGCGAAAGCGUGGGGAGCAAACAGG
rnacentral:rRNA from 1 species